UAGCGGGAGAGCUUGGCGCAUCCUAAACCGAUGACGCCAGCGCCGAAGGAGCAACAGCCCCGGAAACUCUCAGGCAACCGGACCGCUA
rnacentral:ncRNA from 1 species